GGAAGACCUAAAAAUAGUGGCAAAAAGCCAACCGAGCUUGGUGAUAGCUGGUUACUCAACAAAUGAACCUUAGUUCAACUUUAGGUGCCCAUGGGCCAACUACUUUAACCCACCACCCUUUAACCUAAAGAAAUUCAAUGGGGGUACAGCCCCAUUGAACCGGAAUACAACCCGAAUUGAGAGACACCUAUUAAACUUUAACCCUAACAGUAGGCCCCAAAGCAGCCACCAACUAAACGCGUUACAGCUACAACAAAACAAUUUUUACAAUAAUAUACACCUCCUAAUAUACCACGAGUUAUUCUAUUUUCUAAUAGAAACACCAAUGCUAAAAUUAGUAAUAAGAAACCCUAAUUUCUCUCCGCACCCCCUUAAAUCAGAAUAGAAAAACUACUGAUAAUUAACACAACACGACCUACAACAACUAGCUAACAUGUCAACUAAAAUCUGUUACCCCAACACAGGAGUGCAAAAAAGAAAGGCAAAAAGCCAUAAAAGGAACUCGGCAAACCCUACCGUCCCAACUGUUUACCAAAAACAUAGCCUUUAGCUCAACAAGUAUUAAAGGUCCCGCCUGCCCAGUGACUCUUUAAACGGCCGCGGUAUCCUAACCGUGCAAAGGUA
rnacentral:rRNA from 2 species